CCAACGAACGCUGGCGGCAGGCUAACACAUGCAUGUCGAGCGCGCCCUUCGGGGUGAGCGGCGGACGGGUUAGUAACGGGAACGUGCCCAGAUCUAAGGAAUAGCCACUGGAAACGGUGAGUAAUACCUUAUACGCCCUUCGGGGGAAAGAUUUAUCAGGAUUUGGAUCGGCCCGCGUUAGAUUAGGUAGUUGGUGGGGUAAUGGCCUACCAAGCCUACGAUCUAUAGCUGGUUUUAGAGGAUGAUCAGCAACACUGGGACUGAGACACGGCCCAGACUCCUACGGGAGGCAGCAGUGGGGAAUCUUGGACAUGGGGGCAACCUGAUCCAGCCAUGCCGCGUGAGUGAUCGAACGCCUUACGGUCGUAAAGCUCUUUCGCCUGUGAUGAUACUGCACACGUCGCACGUAAACAAACCCCAGCAAACUCCGAGACCAACAGACCGCCGGCA
rnacentral:rRNA from 1 species